CAAGUACUCCCUCCGUCCGGAAUUACUUGUCAUCAAAAUGGAUGUGUCUAGAACUAAAAUACAUCUAGAUACAUCCAUUUCAAUGACAAGUAUUUUUGGAUGGGGUGAGUACAAG
rfam:Triticum aestivum genome assembly, contig: Triticum_aestivum_CS42_TGACv1_scaffold_321586_4BL